rnacentral:lncRNA from 1 species
GGAUCAGCUGGUUUCUGGAGCUUGGCAGUGUGCUGGUAAGUCUAAAGAAUGUCAUUCAGGUUAUGAAAUGCAUCAGGUAUGCAUAUAAUGAUGUUUUUCCCCUGCAAAAUUUAGCAUGUUAGAUUUACCUCUUUGAUUUCCUUUUGUCUCCUUUCUGCAGGACGUGGUUUUAAAAGCCAGACCAAUAUAUACACAGUGAAUAGACAUAAUGAGUGAUUUUCCAAAAGAAAAUUCUUCUUUCAAGAAGAAAUAACUUGGAUCAGCCAAAAUUCAUCAAGACACCAUUUACUGGAGAAAAGUAUUUUCUCUGUAUCUGGAGAGUUGAAGACAGAAAUAAUGAUCAAGCAUUUCUCUGCUUUCCCCAUUCCAUGAUGAUAUGAUCUUCUUGAUGCUGAAUUUGGUUCAGAUCCAGGAAAGCCUAAUGUUGAAAAUAUCCCUUUAAACAGAGGU